UAGAAACACCGGUUCCUGUAAAAUCACCGUAGUUAAGCAACGUGGAACCUGAUUAGUACCUAAAUGGGGGACCGCUUAAGAAUACCAGAUGCUGUAAG